UACGUAGGGCGCAAGCGUUGUCCGGAAUUAUUGGGCGUAAAGAGCUCGUAGGCGGUUUGUCGCGUCUGAUGUGAAAGCCCUAGGCUCAACCUGGGAAUUGCAUUGGAUACUGGCAGGCUAGAGUGCGGUAGAGGAUGGCGGAAUUCCCGGUGUAGCAGUGAAAUGCGUAGAGAUCGGGAGGAACAUCUGUGGCGAAGGCGGCCAUCUGGACCGGCACUGACGCUGAGGCGCGAAAGCGUGGGGAGCAAACAGG
rnacentral:rRNA from 1 species